GGGUUGUGAGGUUAAGCGACUAAGCGUACACGGUGGAUGCCCUGGCAGUCAGAGGCGAUGAAGGACGUGCUAAUCUGCGAAAAGCGUCGGUAAGGUGAUAUGAACCGUUAUAGCCGGCGAUGUCCGAAUGGGGAAACCCAGUGCAAUUCGUUGCACUAUCGUUAACUGAAUACAUAGGUUAACGAGGCGAACCGGGGGAACUGAAACAUCUAAGUACCCCGAGGAAAAGAAAUCAACCGAGAUUCCCCCAGUAGCGGCGAGCGAACGGGGAGCAGCCCAGAGUCUGAAUCAGCUUGUGUGUUAGUGGAACGGUCUGGAAAGUCCGACGGUACAGGGUGAUAGUCCCGUACACCAAAAUGCACAGGUUGUGAACUCGAAGAGUAGGGCGGGACACGUGGUAUCCUGUCUGAAUAUGGGGGGACCAUCCUCCAAGGCUAAAUACUCCUGACUGACCGAUAGUGAACCAGUACCGUGAGGGAAAGGCGAAAAGAACCCCGGCGAGGGGAGUGAAAAAGAACCUGAAACCGUGUACGUACAAGCAGUGGGAGCACCUUCGGGUGUGACUGCGUACCUUUUGUAUAAUGGGUCAGCGACUUAUAUUCUGUAGCAAGGUUAACCGUAUAGGGGAGCCGCAGGGAAACCGAGUCUUAACUGGGCGUUAAGUUGCAGGGUAUAGACCCGAAACCCGGUGAUCUAGCCAUGGGCAGGUUGAAGGUUGGGUAACACUAACUGGAGGACCGAACCGACUAAUGUUGAAAAAUUAGCGGAUGACUUGUGGCUGGGGGUGAAAGGCCAAUCAAACCGGGAGAUAGCUGGUUCUCCCCGAAAGCUAUUUAGGUAGCGCCUCGUGAAUUCAUCUUCGGGGGUAGAGCACUGUUUCGGCUAGGGGGUCAUCCCGACUUACCAACCCGAUGCAAACUACGAAUACCGAAGAAUGUUAUCACGGGAGACACACGGCGGGUGCUAACGUCCGUCGUGAAGAGGGAAACAACCCAGACCGCCAGCUAAGGUCCCAAAGUCAUGGUUAAGUGGGAAACGAUGUGGGAAGGCACAGACAGCCAGGAUGUUGGCUUAGAAGCAGCCAUCAUUUAAAGAAAGCGUAAUAGCUCACUGGUCGAGUCGGCCUGCGCGGAAGAUGUAACGGGGCUAAACCAUGCACCGAAGCUGCGGCAGCGACACUAUGUGUUGUUGGGUAGGGGAGCGUUCUGUAAGCCUGCGAAGGUGUGCUGUGAGGCAUGCUGGAGGUAUCAGAAGUGCGAAUGCUGACAUAAGUAACGAUAAAGCGGGUGAAAAGCCCGCUCGCCGGAAGACCAAGGGUUCCUGUCCAACGUUAAUCGGGGCAGGGUGAGUCGACCCCUAAGGCGAGGCCGAAAGGCGUAGUCGAUGGGAAACAGGUUAAUAUUCCUGUACUUGGUGUUACUGCGAAGGGGGGACGGAGAAGGCUAUGUUAGCCGGGCGACGGUUGUCCCGGUUUAAGCAUGUAGGCUGGUUGUCCAGGCAAAUCCGGAUAAUCAAGGCUGAGGUGUGAUGACGAGGCACUACGGUGCUGAAGUAACAAAUGCCCUGCUUCCAGGAAAAGCCUCUAAGCAUCAGGUAACAUCAAAUCGUACCCCAAACCGACACAGGUGGUCAGGUAGAGAAUACCAAGGCGCUUGAGAGAACUCGGGUGAAGGAACUAGGCAAAAUGGUGCCGUAACUUCGGGAGAAGGCACGCUGGUGUGUAGGUGAAGUCCCUGCGGAUGGAGCUGAGACCAGUCGAAGAUACCAGCUGGCUGCAACUGUUUAUUAAAAACACAGCACUGUGCAAACACGAAAGUGGACGUAUACGGUGUGACGCCUGCCCGGUGCCGGAAGGUUAAUUGAUGGGGUUAUCCGUAAGGAGAAGCUCUUGAUCGAAGCCCCGGUAAACGGCGGCCGUAACUAUAACGGUCCUAAGGUAGCGAAAUUCCUUGUCGGGUAAGUUCCGACCUGCACGAAUGGCGUAAUGAUGGCCAGGCUGUCUCCACCCGAGACUCAGUGAAAUUGAACUCGCUGUGAAGAUGCAGUGUACCCGCGGCAAGACGGAAAGACCCCGUGAACCUUUACUAUAGCUUGACACUGAACAUUGAGCCUUGAUGUGUAGGAUAGGUGGGAGGCUUUGAAGCGUGGACGCCAGUCUGCGUGGAGCCAACCUUGAAAUACCACCCUUUAAUGUUUGAUGUUCUAACGUUGGCCCCUGACCGGGGUUGCGGACAGUGUCUGGUGGGUAGUUUGACUGGGGCGGUCUCCUCCCAAAGCGUAACGGAGGAGCACGAAGGUUAGCUAAUCCUGGUCGGACAUCAGGAGGUUAGUGCAAUGGCAUAAGCUAGCUUGACUGCGAGCGUGACGGCGCGAGCAGGUGCGAAAGCAGGUCAUAGUGAUCCGGUGGUUCUGAAUGGAAGGGCCAUCGCUCAACGGAUAAAAGGUACUCCGGGGAUAACAGGCUGAUACCGCCCAAGAGUUCAUAUCGACGGCGGUGUUUGGCACCUCGAUGUCGGCUCAUCACAUCCUGGGGCUGAAGUAGGUCCCAAGGGUAUGGCUGUUCGCCAUUUAAAGUGGUACGCGAGCUGGGUUUAGAACGUCGUGAGACAGUUCGGUCCCUAUCUGCCGUGGGCGCUGGAGAAUUGAGGGGGGCUGCUCCUAGUACGAGAGGACCGGAGUGGACGCAUCACUGGUGUUCGGGUUGUCAUGCCAAUGGCACUGCCCGGUAGCUAAAUGCGGAAGAGAUAAGUGCUGAAAGCAUCUAAGCACGAAACUUGCCCCGAGAUGAGUUCUCCCUGAGACUUUAAGUCUCCUGAAGGAACGUUGAAGACGACGACGUUGAUAGGCCGGGUGUGUAAGCGCAGCGAUGCGUUGAGCUAACCGGUACUAAUGAACCGUGAGGCUUAACCUUACAACGCCGAAG
rnacentral:rRNA from 1 species